GUUAUUACAAUUUGUAAGUCGCUCUGGAUAAGAGCGUCUGCUAAAUGACUUAAA
rfam:Salmo salar isolate Sally breed double haploid chromosome ssa17, whole genome shotgun sequence.